AGCGGCGAACGGGUGAGUAAUGCAUCAGAACGUAUCCUGCAGUGGGGGACAACGCCGGGAAACCGGCGCUAAUACCGCAUAUGCUCUGUGGAGGAAAGUGGGGGACCUGAGAGGGCCUCACGCUGUGGGCGCGGCCGAUGUCCGAUUAGCUGGUUGGUGGGGUAAAGGCUUACCAAGGCGACGAUCGGUAGCUGGUCUGAGAGGAUGAUCAGCCACACUGGGACUGAGACACGGCCCAGACUCCUACGGGAGGCAGCAGUGGGGAAUUUUGGACAAUGGGGGCAACCCUGAUCCAGCCAUGCCGCGUGCGGGAAGAAGGCCUUCGGGUUGUAAACCGCUUUUAGCUGGGAAGAAAAGGCACGGGCCAAUACCCCGUGUUCUUGACGGUACCGGCGGAAUAAGCACCGGCUAACUACGUGCCAGCAGCCGCGGUAAUACGUAGGGUGCGAGCGUUAAUCGGAAUUACUGGGCGUAAAGCGUGCGCAGGCGGUUCGUUGUGUUUGCGGUGAAAGCCCCGGGCUCAACCUGGGAAUGGCCGUGAAAACUGGCGAGCUGGAGUGUGGCAGAGGGGGGUGGAAUUCCAGGUGUAGCAGUGAAAUGCGUAGAGAUCUGGAGGAACACCGAUGGCGAAGGCAGCCCCCUGGGCUGACACUGACGCUCAGGCACGAAAGCGUGGGGAGCAAACAGGAUUAGAUACCCU
rnacentral:rRNA from 1 species